rnacentral:rRNA from 1 species
UACGUAGGGGGCAAGCGUUGUCCGGAAUCAUUGGGCGUAAAGCGCGUGUAGGCGGCCAUGUAAGUCCGUUCUGAAAGCCCGGGGCUCAACCCCGGGAGGCGGAUGGAUACUGCAUGGCUCGAGUACGGAAGAGGCGAGUGGAAUUCCCGGUGUAGCGGUGAAAUGCGCAGAUAUCGGGAGGAACACCAAUGGCGAAGGCAGCUCGCUGGGACGUUACUGACGCUGAGACG